GCCCCCGUAGCUCAGUUGGAUAGAGCGUCCCCCUCCUAAGGGGAAGGUCGUACGUUCGAAUCGUAUCGGGGGCGCCA
rnacentral:tRNA from 3 species